rnacentral:lncRNA from 1 species
UAGUACCUAGUGUUACACAUAUGGUUAGAGAAAUGCCAAAAGAAGUGUUAAAACCAGUUAUUGAGGAAAAAAUAAUUGAAGUACCUCAAGGAAUAAAAUAUGUAGAAGUACCAGUAGAAGUGCCAUGUUUAUAUCCACCUAAAAUUGUACCUAAAGUUGUAACACAAUAUGUAGAAAGAAUAGUAGAAACAAUCAAACCAGUUGUACAAGAAAAAAUAAUUGAAGUACCACAAACAGUCAUCAAACAAGUACCUAAAAUAAAAACAGUUGAAGUACCUUAUUAUGUUCCUAGAUAUGUUGAAAAAAUAGUAGAAGUACCAUUUAAGCCUAAUGGAGAAAUGCCUAAAAUAGGUUCUCAUAUGCCUUUCAACAUUUCAGAUUCUUUACCCCCACUUAAACCAACACAAUUUUUAAAUAACAGUAAUAUUAAUGACUAUAACAAGAAUAUGGAAAAUGUAUAUCCAUUUAUGCCUGAACAUAUGUGUUGUAAUCCUACUACUACUAAUAAUAAUAGUAUUAUGAUGGGUAAACAUAUGACUAACAGUGUUGCUGAACUUAAUAAGAAUAAUAUAGAUAUGUCUUCUGCUAUUACAGCUUCAAAACAAUUAGACAGUAAUUUAACAAAUGGUAAUGGUUUUAAUAAUAUUAAUAGUAUGAUGAUGACAGCACCUGGAAAUUUUGUUGUACCAUCUUCUAACUCGUUUAUACAAACGAACUUAGAAUUUAAAAAACAAAAUGAAAAUUUACAAAGUCAAAUAGAAAAUUUAAAAAAUGCACAUAAUUUACCUGAAGGAAUCAAAUGGCAAUACCCUGAUGGAGUAGUACCAAUGAACACACAUUUUGAACAUAAAAAUAAUAUGCCUCCUCUUGUUUUUACUUGUCCACCUGAAGUCGGAAAAGUUACAUGUGCUAAUAAAAAUAUACAGCCAGAUAUCCUUACAAAAACAGGUGUUUUUGAAUUUAAUGGUUUUAAAAAAAAUGGAACAGCCCAAGCUCUUUUCCCACCUUUAGCACAUCACAGCAGAGUACCAUUUUUGCCACCACCAGCUACCCAGAGAACUCCAGAUGUUGAGAGAAUAAGAAAAAACAACUAACAAGCGAACAAGUUGGCGAAACUGGUCACUAUAUAUAUAUAUAUAUAGAUUAAUACAUAAUUUCGUACACUUUGCACACGCUUAUAUACAUACACAUGUGUCAUUUUAUUUUAUU